UUAGUAUUACUGUUGCAGAGUCCUGGGGGUUUAUGCCCAGAAAAAGAGAAGUGCGGUGAGAAUCCGUCGCAACAGCCAUUACUGUAUCUGGUUAAACGUAAAAAUGCAGGUGUCAUAGACAUCCGCAAGCGUUGCAGCCACAAGUCAGAUCGCUUGCUCUGCUCUCUCAUAUAAA
rnacentral:ncRNA from 2 species